ensembl:processed_transcript uncharacterized LOC110285832
GGUGAUGAUGAAUCUCAGGCAUUCAAAGGUUAGUUAGAUUAUUUUGGAUGGGGUUUGUUCACUAGGUUGGCUGUUUCUAUGAUGAAUCAAACUAGCUCACUAUGACUGCUAAUGAAAACACAGGAACACCUGAGAAACCAAAGGGUAGAGUGCGGGGGCAAGGGCGCUUAUAUCCAGCCUUUUCAACGUUUGUUAUUUUUCUCCAGGUUCUGUUAGCAGUGCCAUGCUUGUUGGCUCACAGAGAGGGUGUGUCUGGCUGAGAGCAAAGGAGCCAUACCAGGAAAGUUAAAGCGUAUUUUCAUCUUCAAGUCCAGGCUAAAAUAAGGUGAGAAAACAUAGAUACAAAGUAAGCUGAACUAUAAUUUCCCCAUGAAGAAAUAUUCACACGUCCUACUUCCUGUCCUAGCUCCAGAGCCUGAAAAGGUGAACCCACUGGGGCUGGCUGGGGGAAAAGAGGAAACUUUGUUCCAGAAGGAACUGUCUGAGGGAUCAUUUUUGUGU